GUAAGUAGCUUAAUUCAUUUGUGAAAAUUUAAAAAGUUGUUUUUCUUAUAUAGUACAAAACCCGAAUUGCUUUGCAAUUCAUUCGAAAACGCCAUACAUCCUCUAUAGGAAAAUCAUAUGUUAAUGUAUGAAUAUGUCAUAUAAAAUAAAAAUAAAGCGAUAUAUACUCAAAGUUCAAAGUUAUUUCACCUCAUUUCAUUUUAUCAAAAACUUUACAUAAUUUUGUUUACUUUUGCAUGGUUUUGCUAUCGAUUGUAUCACUGCAGACUAAAAUGUGAUUAAUGUGGAGUGCACGCCCAUUGGUACAAAGUGCAUAACAAGUGAAAUUUCGAAAUAAAAAGAAAAUAAUAAACAAAAUUUAAUGGCACACAUCAAAGUGUCCAGUGUCCACAAACAACUCGUACAAUCGAAACAGUAUCUUCUUACCAACAGCCUUAAUUACCUAGUUAAUAUACGAGAUAGCGAUUUUCGCUAUCAAACAAAAACAACAAAAUAAACAAAAUUAGAUAUACAAUAAGACUAACUGUAAAUAUUAUCAAGACCAAAAAUUGUAUAGAAGCAAAACAAUUAUGAAUACAAGAUACAGAUUCUUACGAAGUUACAAUCAAGCAAAUCUAUCGCUGUUUUUAAUUUAGCUAUCUUUUUAGGUAUCUUUUGCGAUUGAAUAGUAUUGCAAAUGGAACUCUUAACGCUUUGACUCUGAGCAAGUCAGAAGAAUAAAAAACUCUUACCGGAAGAGAAAUUAAUGUUGAAAUGGAUUCAGAAUUAACUGGUUCUGUGGACCAAACUAUCAACAAUCCAAACGACAUCCAAAGAGGAGGAAAAAGAAUUAGAGUAAAUUAUGUAACAUCCUUAUAUAUAUUCUUUUUGAAACUUCAAUUUGUGACUUUUAUAAACUGUUACUGACGUAAAACCACGUGGCUAGUUUACAUCAACGUCUAUUAAAAUAAGCAAAAUUAAUAAAAUGAGAAACUUCUUUAAAAGUGAUGUUUAGGAAACAGAUAACUAUAUAUUCCUGGUUUGUACGAAAAGGAGGAGGGAAAGAAGAUGGAUAACGAUGAUUUACUUGGGUACGAAGGCUUGAGAAUAGUUUCAGAGCGUGAUGCGCUACAUAAUUUUGUGGAAAUGGCUGUUCACCAGAAUAUUGUAACGGAAAUCCCAAAUCCUGUUCAUUCCAGCUAAGUAAUAAAAUCUGUAAAGAGAGAAAAACAAAAUGCACAUUCGCACCGCGUCAUGCAGGUGUCGGCCGAAGAAAACGAGUACCAGAACGAAUUAGAAAUGAAGGUAUAAAAUUAGGUACUAGUAAUGUAGUUGUAAAAAUGUAUAUAAUUAGAAUAUUUGUGGAAGAGAGAGUUAGUAGAAAAAGAAUAUUUAAGUUGAGCAGUUGAAAGUACUGCCAGAUUUAAAUUGUGAAUAAUCCUAUAUUUAAGGAAUGUAACUGUAAAUAAAAGAACUUUGAAGUGUAUUUCUCUUGAACAAAAUAUCCACGGUCCAGUGGUACGGACUGUAUAUUAGGAAAGCGAAUUUUAUAGCAAUACGUUUAUUCUGCACCAAAUGAUGCGGUGAAAGGCGUAUUAUG